rnacentral:rRNA from 1 species
GACGAACGCUGGCGGCGUGCUUAUUACAUGCAAGUCGUGUGGAGCGGCGAACGGGUGAGUAACGCGUGAGUAACUGCCCCCCUCUCUGGGAUAACAGUUGGAAACGGCUGCUAAUACCGGAUAGCGGGGGAUGACUUGCGUUCUAUCAGCCUGUUGGUGGGGUAGUGGCCUACCAAGUCUACGACGGCGAGCCGGCCCGAGCGGGCGACCGGCCACAUUGGGCUUGGGUACGGCCCAGACUCCUACGGCAGGCAGCAGUGGGGAAUAUUGCACGAUGGGGGAAACCCUGAUGCAGCAGCGCCGCGUGCGGGCUUGCGGCCUUCAGGUUGUAAACCGCUUUCAGCCAUAACGCGAUAGUGGCAGAAGAAGCACCGGCUAACUGCGUGCCAGCAGCCGCGGUAAUAC